UGAGGGCUGCACUAACCCAGGACAACAAACAAGCAUAGUAAGAACUGGAGAUGAAUGACUCAGAGCCGACAAGGAGAGGGCAGGUCAGCAUCACAGACCUCCUGGAGGGUGUCCAGGGGAGUCACAGAGGAGGUACAGGCGGUGCUGCUCCCCACACUGCUCCUGUCUUCUGAGUCCAAACUGGGAGUGCCGGAAUCCUCACCCUUAGCCCUCAUCAGGAGGCAACCAGGGGGUGUGUCCUGACUUUGGUCACUGUCUGGCUGGGGAGACACCAGGGCUGACCCUUGGACUGAGGUGAGACCUCUUGAUUGCCCCCAGUGGGAGAAGGGCAUGGAGCCCCAGGAAGGAGGGAAGGAAGAAGGAAAGGAAGGAAGGGAGAAAAAAGAGAAGAGAGAGAGAAUGAGAGAGAGAGAGAGAGAGAGAGAGAUAGGUUGGACUUCAGCAGACAAAGAACCCGGCCAACAAUAAAACAAAACCCAGAGAAGAAGGAAGUUCCCCAGGAGGAAUUUGGGCACUGUGUCAACUUGAUAAGGACAAGGUGCAAUGGAAGCCACACUCGAAGAUGAGAUGAGCCUGUUCAUCUCAGCAGCCAGUGGCAGAGGGGGAGACCACAGAACUCCAGAAGCAAGCGGAGAGCCCACACGCCAUACAGUUAUGACUCAAUGAGCCCAAGCCAGGAGGAACAGGAGAGGCAUGGCUGAAAUUGGAUUAUAGACACAGAUGGCUGGCUCUGACCAGCACAGCAAAGGCACAACAAGAUCCAGGCACCGGAGGAAGGUAUUUAGAUAUGUGAUGAUGAAGCAAAGAAAGAACUGUGCACGGAGUCCCAGGAAAACAAGACACAGGAUGCAUUCCAUCCAGAUAUGGCUCCUACUCCACCUCCUCAGCUGAGGGUAAAGAAGAUUCUGCAGGUGCACAAGACAGAACCAGUGAGUCACUACGAAGGGGGUGAAGUGAGCUGGCUGCAGAUUUUCUGCAGUGAACUAAGCACCAGAGGAUGACGGUCCCAUGCUGAUCAAGUUCUAAUGGGAAAAAAUGAGGUCUAGGACUAUUAUACCCAGCCAAAAUGUCACUCGAGUCUAGAGACACAGGGGCGAUGUCCUCCAACGCAAAGGAACGUGAGAGAACGCGGCACAAAUGCACACGCCCUUGUUGGGAGAAAAACAACCACAGCCACCUCAAAGAUGAAAUGAAGCUGCUAAAAGAAAUGCCAAAGAAAGAAUUCCAGCGUGAAGAAGCCGUAUGAAAGGGUGGGUGGGCAGCGGGAAGCCCACUGAGGUGGCUACAGAGCGUUAGAGAAUUACACAAAAUAUGGUUAUAGAACAGGUAAGCAUUUAAACCUUGGUGGAGUAAAAACAAUGAUAAAAUUAGUAACAUUGUGGGUAUGCAGGACACUGUGAUCCAAAAUGAAGACACGCCAGGCGACUGAGAUUCUAACGCGAGCCGCGCUGAAAGACCCAUCCCCAGAGAAUGACUGACUCAGGGCAGGGAAGGUUCGAGAGUGUGGAAAAUCUAGUUUUGCUAGAGAACAAGGAAGUUGCAAAGAGGAAUGGGGUCAUGUCCAAGGGUACGGAAGCCAGUGGGAAGGGCUCCCAUUGGCCAAAGUGGAGGCGGUGGGAUCUCAGAGGGGACAAUGAUUCAAACAUGGCGUGUGGGCUUCCUGCUGCUGUGGUUACAAAUGACCACAAAUUCAAUUGCUAAACCACACUUUUUUUUUUUUUUUUUUUUUUUACCUUGAGACGGGAUCUCACUUUGUUGCCCAGGCUGGAGUGCAGUGGCAUGAACAUCGCUCACUGCAGCCUGGACCUCCUGGGCUCAAGUGAUCCUCCUGCCUCAGCUUCCCAAGUAGCUGGGACUACAGGCAUGCACCACCAUGCUCGGCUAAGUUUUGUAUUUUUUGUAGAGACAGGGUUUUGCCAUGUUGCCCAGGCUGGUCUGGAACUCCUGAGCUCGAGAGAUCUGCCUGCCUUGGCCUCCCAAAGUGCUGAGAUUUCAGGUGUGAGCCACCGUACCCGGCCAACACAAGUGUUUUAAGCACACCAUCCCGGAGGUCCGAAAUCCCAAGCCUGAAGUGCCGGCAGGGCUGGCUCCUUCUGGAGUCCCAGGGAGGGGUCCAUUUCCUUGCCUCUUCCAGCUUCCGGUGACCACCACCCUCCCCGGCUGGGCCCCUCCUCCCAUCGCUCCAGUCCUUGCUUCCCCUGCUCAUCUCCUUCUCCAGCGACUCUGAACCUCUGCCUCCCUCCCCUAGGAAUCUGUGAUGAUCUUGGCUCACCCAGAUCAUCCACGAUAAUUUCCCAUCUUCAAGGCCCUCCACUUAAUCAUAUCUGCUAAUCCCCCUCACCACGUGUGGUCCCCCUCGCCACGCAUGGUUACAUAGUCAUGGGUUUCUGGGAUCAGGACAUGGACAUCUUCAGGGGAGCAUUAUUUGGCCCACCACACACGGCAGGUCCACGGAACUCCAUGGGUCCACACCUGAUGCUCCGAAGGGGGAGUCCAGGGAACCCCUUUCCUUGUUGUCGCCACUAGAGGCUGCAAUUCAACACUGCCUUACUGUGAAAAUCUGUCAUUAAAGAGAAAGGGUCGAGGGUGUUUCCAGCAGGAAUUAUAUUUGGGGGUGCACAGCUCCCAUGGAUGAAGGAUCAGCACAGUGCAGAGGAGAAUGUGGGUAACGCUGAUGGAGGGAGGAAGAGAAAAAGGCAGCCUGCACCUCCCAGGUCCCAGUGGAAGGACAGGCUUGGGAAGGGCCUUCAGAGGGGGCCAAGAGCCACAGAGGGAACACUGGGUGCUCGUAAAGCCACAGGCCACCUUGAGGUGACCAGGGGGAAGUACCUGCCCAGUGGUGGGGUUGGGCUGGCCCCAGCAGGUCCAUCAGGCCAUCUUUGACACGGGCAACCAGGACCUGAGGCCACACGCAGACACCAAGGGCACGUGCAACAUUUUCAAGCCUCGAUCAAGUAAGCUCUGUCCAGCAGGCCUGCAGACCCAACUUCCACUUUGCAAAAAAUACUGGAGGCAGAAGAACAAGCUGAACCACCCACAGAGAGGCCACCGGACACGUGCAGACGGUGGAAACUUCUGCAGGACGAGAGGCCUGGUGUACGUGCUACCUCUGUUGCGUAACGAACCACCACCAGCCUGGAAGCUCACAGCAGCACCCACUUAUCACUUCUCAGUUCUGUAGGGUAGAAGUCUGCGCACAGCUGAGCUUGGUUUUCUGCAGAGGGUCCCAUGAGGCUGAGACGGAGGCAUCCGCAGGGCUGGGCCCGCAUCUGGAGCCCAGCAGGAAUCUGCUCCCAGGCUCAUUCCCGCCAUCUGCGGAAUCCCCUCCUGCACAGUGGGACAGAGGACCCCCUUUCUUGCUGGCCGCUGGCAGGGGGUUGCUCUCAGCUCCCCAGGGCCACCUCCUUCCUUGGCAUAUGCCCUCAUCUCUAAAGCAAGUACAGAUGUGUUCAGUUCCCUGCUGCCUCCAGUCACUUCACCUCUUCCACUGCCAGCCAGAGGAAACGCUGCUUUCAGAGGGCACGUGUGAGUAGACGCAGCCCACUCGGAUAAUCGCCCUUUGAUUAAUUCAAAUUCAACUGCUCAGCGAACUUAAUUAUAUCUCCCGUGUAUACCUGUCUCCCCAUUCCUCCUUUGUAUAAAGAGGGGCCUUAGUCCUAUUGAAUUAGGGCCCAACUGAAUGACCUCAUUUCACCUUAAUUACCUCUAAAGAACCAAUUUCCAAAUACAGUCAUAGUCUAAGGUACCAUGGGUUGGGGCUUUGAUAUAUAAAUCUUGGGGGACACAGUUCAAUCCCGAACACCAUGUCACGUGACAAUCGUGGUGUGAUGUCUCAGAUUCACAAUCCCGGGGGUAGGGUGGGAAAUCCUGGGGGACCCGCCUGGUGGGAGCUGUUCCAGAUUAAAAAGGGGUUUGUGAAUCACCAUAACCAGACCCGGCAAAACACUCCUGGAUUGAGCUCACCAGCUGCUGAGCACAUGCCGGGGCCGCUGGGGAGAUGUCUCUCCAAGCUGGGCUUGGGCUGCCCCUCUCCCAGGACCCCUGCCCGGCCCUCUCCCCUUCCCAGCCCGUGGCUGCGGCCCUCACUCUCCGGCCCCCGGCUCUCUGCCCCUCCGUGGGCAUGGCCUUGGCCUCCCUGAGUUCUGGGGAGAUGCCUCCCACUUCCUGUUCCCCCGGAACAGGGCGUGAGUCUUGGGAGACCUAAUCAGGGCCUCCUGAAAUCUGGGCUUUUCCCAGGCAGGCCGUGGGUGGCUGUUACAUCCGCAGUGAGGCUGUGGGGGUCUCACUUCCCAAGGAGGGGCCUGCGGGUGGCUUGGCCGCUGGCUCUUUUCUGCCCCACAUAGAAACCAGGUGAAUCUGCCCCGAUGUUCUCCCUCCAAACAAUUAUGCGAUUUCCUGGUGUCGGGGUGUCCUGGGGCUGCCAUAACAAAGUACCACAGCGGGGGGCUUGAAGCAACAGUUCUGGAGGCCAGAGUUGGACAUCAGUGUCCCUGG
rnacentral:lncRNA from 1 species